GUCCUAGUGAGGAUGAGAGUCAGGACCUAGUGAGACCAGAGUCGGACUGUAGGGAGGACCAGACUUAGGGCCCAUUGAGAACCACAGUCAGGCCUACUGGGUACCAGAGUCGGACCCCAGUAAGGCAGAGUCAGGUUGUAGAGAGGACAAGUAAUGUCAUAGUGAAGGCCGGAGUCGGACCAGAGUGAGAACCAGUGAGGACCGAUCUCAGGGUGCAGUGAGAACUAGAGUCAGCGUCUUGUGAGGACAAGAGUCAGGCCCCAGUGAGGACGACAGUGAGGCCCUGGGGAGCACCACAGUCAGGUCCCAGUGAGGCCAAGAGUCGGGUAGUAGAGAGGACAGAAUAAAGUUGAAGAGAAGACCAGAGUCAGGCCAUAGUGAUAAAGACAGGCCACAGAGAGGACCAUAGUCACAGCAUAUUGAGAAGCAGUGUCAGAUAAUAGAAGUGUGAGGAGGCUGUGGGGACCAGAGUCAGGCCAUAGUGAGGACCAGAGUGAGGCCAUACUGAGGAUGAGUCAGGCCCUCGUGAGGCCAAGAACCAGGCCCUAGUAGCAUAAAAGUCAGUGCCUUGAGAGGAUGAGAUUCAUGCCAUAGUGGGGCAGAGUCAGGCAGAGUGAGGACCAGAAUAGGGCCAGGUGAAGAAUCAUCUCAGGCUCCAGUGAGGACCAGAGUCAGGCCCUGGUGAGUCAAAAAGUCAGGCUCAAGUGAGACAGAGUCAGGCACCUGAUAAGGCAAAGAGUCAGGCUGAAGAAAUGAUCGGAGUCAGGGGCCAUUCAGGAACAGACUCAGGGCCCAGUAGGACCAGAGUCAGGCGGUGUGGAGGAGUAGAUCAGGACCCAGUAAGGACCACAGUCAGUGCCUACUGAGGACCAGAGUCAGGCCUCACUGAGGCAAAGAAUCAGCCUGUAGUGAGGCACAGAGUCAGGCAGUUGAGAGAAGAGUGUCAAGCCAUAGAGAGGACCAGGGUCUGGCUGCAGUGAGGACCAGACAGGCUGAAGUGAGGCAAAGAGUCAGGCCAUAGAGAGGCCUAGAGUCAGGCCGUAGGGAGGACAAGAGUCAGUCAGUUAAGAGGACCAGUGACAGGGCCCAGGGAGGGCCGGAGACAGGCCCUAGUGAGUAUGAGAGUCAGGCCCUGGUAAGGAUUUGAGUCAUGCCAUAAUUAGAACUAGAGUCAGGCCACCGAGAGGACCAGACUCAUGGCCCAGUGAGAAACAGUCCUCCAAUGAGGACGAGAAACAGUCCCCAGUGAGGCAGAGUCAGGCCAUAUUGAGGCAAAGGUUCAGG
ensembl:lncRNA